UGCCCAUGCUUAUUCACCUACUGAUCCCAGCGUUAAAGAAGAUCCCAUGGAGGUUAUAGUCCAAGUGCUGGACCAGAACGAUAACAGUCCUGUGUUUACCCAAAAUGCAUUCCAUGGCAGUGUACGAGAAGCUGCAAAAAUAGGAGUUGAGUUCAUGACCAUCACAGCCACUGAUGCAGACGAUCCAGACACUGACAAUGCUGAUGUCAGGUACUCCAUCAUCAGUCAGACUCCACCAGAGCCAAAACCAAACAUGUUUGCCAUCAACCCUGUCAGUGGAGCAAUUCGAGUGAAUGCUGAUGGACUGGACAGAGCGAAAUAUCCUGAAUACAAUCUGGAGAUUCAAGCAGCAGAUCAAAAAGGAGAAGGUCGUGCAGCCAAAGGAAAAGCUAUCAUCACUGUAACAGACAACAAUGACGAGUCCUCGGUGAAUUGGGUGAUUCCACCAAUCUCAUUGAUGGAAAAUGACGCUAAAGGUCCGUUUCCCAAGCAGGUUGUCCAGAUUAAGUCCAUUCAAGCCAAAGAAACACCAAUGGUGUACAGCAUCACCGGUGAAGGAGCAGACCUGCCUCCAGUGGGACUUUUCACAAUAGCAAGAAACACUGGAUGGCUCUCUGUGUCAAGGCCUCUAGACAGAGAAGUAAAGGCUAAAUAUGUGGUGGUUGUCCGUGCUCAUUCACCUACUGAUCCCAGCGUUAAAGAAGAUCCCAUAGAGGUUAUAGUCCAAGUGCUGGACCAGAAUGAUAACAGUCCUGUAUUCACCCAAAAUCCAUUCCUUGGCAGUGUACCAGAGACUGCAAAAAUAGGAGUUGAGUUCAUGACCAUCACAGCCACUGAUGCAGACGAUCCAGACACUGACAAUGCUGAUGUCAGGUACUCCAUCAUCAGUCAGACUCCACCAGAGCCAAAACCAAACAUGUUUGCCAUCAACCCUGUCAGUGGAGCAAUUCGAGUGAAUGCUGAUGGACUGGACAGAGCGAAAUAUCCUGAAUACAAUCUGGAGAUUCAAGCAGCAGAUCAAAAAGGAGAAGGUCGUGCAGCCAAAGGAAAAGCUAUCAUCACUGUAACAGACAACAACGACAAGUCCUCGGUGAAUUGGGUGAUUCCACCAAUCUCAUUGAUGGAAAAUGACGCUAAAGGUCCGUUUCCUAAGCAGGUUGUCCAGAUUAAGUCCAUUCAAGCCAAAGAAACACCAAUGGUGUACAGCAUCACCGGUGAAGGAGCAGACCUGCCUCCAGUGGGACUUUUCACAAUAGCAAGAAACACUGGAUGGCUCUCUGUGUCAAGGCCUCUAGACAGAGAAGUAAAGGCUAAAUAUGUGCUGGUUGCCCAUGCUUAUUCACCUACUGAUCCCAGCAUUAAAGAAGAUCCCAUAGAAGUAAUAGUCCAAGUGCUGGAUCAGAAUGAUAACAGUCCUGUCUUCACCCAAAAUCCAUUCCUUGGAAGGGUAUCAAAAACUGAAAAAAUAGGAGUUGAGUUCAUGACCAUCACAGCCACUGAUGCAGACGAUCCAGACACUGACAAUGCUGCUGUCAGCUACUCCAUCAUCAGUCAGACUCCACCAGAGCCAAAACCAAACAUGUUUGCCAUCAACCCUGUCAGUGGAGCAAUUCGAGUGAAUGCUGAUGGACUGGACAGAGCGAAAUAUCCUGAAUACAAUCUGGAGAUUCAAGCAGCAGAUCAAAAAGGAGAAGGUCGUGCAGCCAAAGGAAAAGCUAUCAUCACUGUAACAGACAACAAUGACGAGUCCUCGACAAAGGUGAAUUGGGUGAUUCCACCAAUCUCAUUGAUGGAAAAUGACGCUAAAGGUCCGUUUCCCAAGCAGGUUGUCCAGAUUAAGUCCAUUCAAGCCAAAGAAACACCAAUGGUGUACAGCAUCACCGGUGAAGGAGCAGACCUGCCUCCAGUGGGACUUUUCACAAUAGCAAGAAACACUGGAUGGCUCUCUGUGUCAAGGCCUCUAGACAGAGAAGUAAAGGCUAAAUAUGCGGUAAGAAUUUGUCUUUCCAAUUUUGCUUUAUCUUUUAUUAGGUCAUGGCAAAUGUUCUAAUAGACUGAGGUAUAUGCCAACAGAAAAUAUGCUCCUGUAUAAGAAUAUUUUUUUUGGUUUUAUUAAUUUACCUUAUUUUUAUUUUUCAUCUUAACUUCAGCUGCUAGUCCAUGCUUAUUCACCUACUGAUCCCAGCAUUAAAGAAGAUCCCAUAGAAGUAAUAGUCCAAGUGCUGGAUCAGAAUGAUAACAGUCCUGUCUUCACCCAAAAUCCAUUCCUUGGAAGGGUAUCAAAAACUGAAAAAAUAGGAGUUGAGUUCAUGACCAUCACAGCCACUGAUGCAGACGAUCCAGACACUGACAAUGCUGAUGUCAGCUACUCCAUCAUCAGUCAGACUCCACCAGAGCCAAAACCAAACAUGUUUGCCAUCAACCCUGUCAGUGGAGCAAUUCGAGUGAAUGCUGAUGGACUGGACAGAGCGAAAUAUCCUGAAUACAAUCUGGAGAUUCAAGCAGCAGAUCAAGCAGGAGAAGGUCGUGCAGCCAAAGGAAAAGCUAUCAUCACUGUAACAGACAACAAUGACAACUGACUCG